UUUCAAAGUAGGUUAGAAAGACUGUGGGUUUCAUAAGCCUAAGGUGGGUUGUUCCCUUUGAAAA
rnacentral:tRNA from 1 species